rnacentral:rRNA from 1 species
CCUCUUUCAGCAGGGAAGAAGCGAAAGUGACGGUACCUGCAGAAGAAGCGCCGGCUAACUACGUGCCAGCAGCCGCGGUAAUACGUAGGGCGCAAGCGUUGUCCGGAAUUAUUGGGCGUAAAGAGCUCGUAGGCGGCUUGUCACGUCGGUUGUGAAAGCCCGGGGCUUAACCCCGGGUCUGCAGUCGAUACGGGCAGGCUAGAGUUCGGUAGGGGAGAUCGGAAUUCCUGGUGUAGCGGUGAAAUGCGCAGAUAUCAGGAGGAACACCGGUGGCGAAGGCGGAUCUCUGGGCCGAUACUGACGCUGAGGAGCGAAAGCGUGGGGAGCGAACAGGAUUAGAUACCCUGGUAGUCCACGCCGUAAACGGUGGGCACUAGGUGUGGGCAACAUUCCACGUUGUCCGUGCCGCAGCUAACGCAUUAAGUGCCCCGCCUGGGGAGUACGGCCGCAAGGCUAAAACUCAAAGGAAUUGACGGGGGCCCGCACAAGCGGCGGAGCAUGUGGCUUAAUUCGACGCAACGCGAAGAACCUUACCAAGGCUUGACAUACACCGGAAACGUCUGGAGACAGGCGCCCCCUUGUGGUCGGUGUACAGGUG